rnacentral:rRNA from 1 species
ACGAACGCUGGCGGCAGGCUUAACACAUGCAAGUCGAACGCCCCGCAAGGGGAGUGGCAGACGGGUGAGUAACGCGUGGGAAUCUACCCAACUCUACGGAAUAACUCAGGGAAACUUGUGCUAAUACCGUAUACGCCCUUCGGGGGAAAGAUUUAUCGGAGUUGGAUGAGCCCGCGUUGGAUUAGCUAGUUGGUGGGGUAAAGGCCUACCAAGGCGACGAUCCAUAGCUGGUCUGAGAGGAUGAUCAGCCACAUUGGGACUGAGACACGGCCCAAACUCCUACGGGAGGCAGCAGUGGGGAAUAUUGGACAAUGGGCGCAAGCCUGAUCCAGCCAUGCCGCGUGAGUGAUGAAGGCCCUAGGGUUGUAAAGCUCUUUCACCGGUGAAGAUAAUGACGGUAACCGGAGAAGAAGCCCCGGCUAACUUCGU